AGACAUGCAGGCACGAAUAUGAUAGUAAAAAUUAAAAUUGCAUUUUUGGGACUUCAUUUCAGCCUUUAUAACAAUUUGCAAGUCAUGAAACAGGAUGAACUUUGAAUUUCAUAUGCAAAAACGGAAAACAUAUUUUGUGUAUAACAGGAUGAUACUCGAGCGUGCAUUAUGUUCUCUCUUCAAGUUGAAGCCUUUAUGCGUUACAGGGCAUUACAAACACGUGAAAAUACAUCCUUAUCUCAGAAAUACAAAGACUCUUCGAAUGUCUGCCGAUUUGUUCGCCUUUACUACUCAGUCCUGCGAUCUAGCGGAGUAACUGCAGAAUGUAGGAUGAAGGUGUUGGGAUAUUUAAUCGUUCGUAUAAAUGAUAUGAUUAAAUUGGAAGAUUUUCUACCUUGGGAAGGAGAAUAUGUUUGCGGAGUAGCUCGGCAUACAUUUGAGGAAUUAUGCUUACACUUUUUUCGAAUUGUCAUAAGUAAACUUCUCUGAAUAGUCUGGAAAAUAUAAUUUGAAACUCAAAAAAAACUGUAAGCAUAAUCCAGGGUAUCGUAAUUAACUGUUGGAACAGGUUAUUCAUCGAUCAAUUCCAUCAAGCUAAUCACCCAAGAUGUGUACAAUCAUCACAAUACUGUGAAUAUUUCUUUUCAACAGUUACUCAGCUAAGCAACUCGCCGACUGGAGCUCCUCUUGGCUCCAAAAUUGAUAAAAUCAUGUCCCGAGCCAUCCUUACCAGAAGGAUGCAAAUUAAGCUUGGAGAUUGAUUUUCAUAUCUUCAUUCCCAUAACCCAAUAUAUCGACAGGAAAUAAAUGAGGAUAUAGAGACAAGGAAUCGAGUUUAUAGGAACUGCACUGAUAUUC